UUACUUAAACAAUUAUAUUCAUACAACUGACCCAAAAAAAACUAUGACAAUAUAACCUAUGUAUCACAAAAUCAUGGUCUCCCCCUUAGUCACUUUGACCUUCUUUGAAAGAUCAUCAAAGGCUGUUGGAAGUCCUUCUGAAUUAUUUGCAAUACACUCACUCCUACAUCAAUAGUAGGAUCUACCAUAUCAAUAUCAGUAUGAGCUAAACCUCGCCCUCGCCCCCGCCC
rnacentral:lncRNA from 1 species